rnacentral:RNase_P_RNA from 1 species
UGGGUCGGUGAGGCGGUCGCGUCACGGCAUCGCGCAAGCGGUGGAUGUGCCGAGGAACGUCCGGGCUCCGCAGGGGAGAACGGUGGGUAACACCCACCCGGGGUAACCCGCGAGAAAGUGCAACAGAGAGUAGACCGCCAGGCACGGCUUUCCGAGUCUGGUAAGGCUGAAAGGGUGGUGUAAGAGACCACCGGCGUUCGUGGCAACACGGGCGGCCAGGUAAACCUCGUUCGGAGCAAGGCCAGACAGAAGAUGAUGACGCUCCCCGCCGAGUCUUCGGGUAGGCCGCUAGAGGGUACUGGUAACAGUGCCACGAGAGAGAUGACCGUCACCGCUGGCUUUCGGGCCAGCGCGACAGAACCCGGCGUAUGAUCCGGCCCAUUCC